rnacentral:sRNA from 1 species
UGUCGAUGCCCUUCCUGUGCGUUUCCUCCCUGUAAACUUGGGCCUAGCUGUGUAGCUGGGCCUUUUUUUUUGAAUUCG